rnacentral:rRNA from 1 species
GUAACCUGCCUGUAAGACUGGGAUAACUCCGGGAAACCGGGGCUAAUACCGGAUGGUUGUUUGAACCGCAUGGUUCAAACAUAAAAGGUGGCUUCGGCUACCACUUACAGAUGGACCCGCGGCGCAUUAGCUAGUUGGUGAGGUAACGGCUCACCAAGGCAACGAUGCGUAGCCGACCUGAGAGGGUGAUCGGCCACACUGGGACUGAGACACGGCCCAGACUCCUACGGGAGGCAGCAGUAGGGAAUCUUCCGCAAUGGACGAAAGUCUGACGGAGCAACGCCGCGUGAGUGAUGAAGGUUUUCGGAUCGGCUCUGUUGUUAGGGAAGAACAAGUACCGUUCGAAUAGGGCGGUACCUUGACGGUACCUAACCAGAAAGCCACGGCUAACUACGUGCCAGCAGCCGCGGUAAUACGUAGGUGGCAAGCGUUGUCCGGAAUUAUUGGGCGUAAAGGGCUCGCAGGCGGUUUCUUAAGUCUGAUGUGAAAGCCCCCGGCUCAACCGGGGAGGGUCAUUGGAAACUGGGGAACUUGAGUGCAGAAGAGGAGAGUGGAAUUCCACGUGUAGCGGUGAAAUGCGUAGAGAUGUGGAGGAACACCAGUGGCGAAGGCGACUCUCUGGUCUGUAACUGACGCUGAGGAGCGAAAGCGUGGGGAGCGAACAGGAUUAGAUACCCUGGUAGUCCACGCCGUAAACGAUGAGUGCUAAGUGUUAGGGGGUUUCCGCCCCUUAGUGCUGCAGCUAACGCAUUAAGCACUCCGCCUGGGGAGUACGGUCGCAAGACUGAAA